rnacentral:rRNA from 1 species
AAUGCAGUCGAGCGNACAGAUGGGAGCUUGCUCCCUGAUGUUAGCGGCGGACGGGUGAGUAACACGUGGGUAACCUGCCUGUAAGACUGGGAUAACUCCGGGAAACCGGGGCUAAUACCGGAUGGUUGUUUGAACCGCAUGGUUCAGACAUAAAAGGUGGCUUCGGCUACCACUUACAGAUGGACCCGCGGCGCAUUAGCUAGUUGGUGAGGUAACGGCUCACCAAGGCGACGAUGCGUAGCCGACCUGAGAGGGUGAUCGGCCACACUGGGACUGAGACACGGCCCAGACUCCUACGGGAGGCAGCAGUAGGGAAUCUUCCGCAAUGGACGAAAGUCUGACGGAGCAACGCCGCGUGAGUGAUGAAGGUUUUCGGAUCGUAAAGCUCUGUUGUUAGGGAAGAACAAGUGCCGUUCAAAUAGGGCGGCACCUUGACGGUACCUAACCAGAAAGCCACGGCUAACUACGUGCCAGCAGCCGCGGUAAUACGUAGGUGGCAAGCGUUGUCCGGAAUUAUUGGGCGUAAAGGGCUCGCAGGCGGUUUCUUAAGUCUGAUGUGAAAGCCCCCGGCUCAACCGGGGAGGGUCAUUGGAAACUGGGGAACUUGAGUGCAGAAGAGGAGAGUGGAAUUCCACGUGUAGCGGUGAAAUGCGUAGAGAUGUGGAGGAACACCAGUGGCGAAGGCGACUCUCUGGUCUGUAACUGACGCUGAGGAGCGAAAGCGUGGGGAGCGAACAGGAUUAGAUACCCUGGUAGUCCACGCCGUAAACGAUGAGUGCUAAGUGUUAGGGGGUUUCCGCCCCUUAGUGCUGCAGCUAACGCAUUAAGCACUCCGCCUGGGGAGUACGGUCGCAAGACUGAAACUCAAAGGAAUUGACGGGCGCCCGCACAAGCGGUGGAGCAGNUGGUUAAUUCGAAGCAC